rnacentral:lncRNA from 1 species
UGAUCUUGAUCCUACAACUUGACUCGUAACAUGGAUUCUCUCAUAAAACUAUUUUCCAAAAUCAUGCAUAUUUAAUUAAAUGUCAAAUGAUUUUAAAUCAUGCAUAUUUACAGUAGUCAAAAUAAUUUUUAGACAUGCCUUAAAAAUUUGGACAAAGAUAAUUGAUUAUGUACUUAUGAUAAUCGAUUGUUUUAAGCCAAGACUGCAUAAUAAUCG